rnacentral:rRNA from 1 species
CUUGUUGGUGAGGUAACGGCUCACCAAGGCUUCGACGGGUAGCCGGCCUGAGAGGGCGACCGGCCACACUGGGACUGAGAUACGGCCCAGACUCCUACGGGAGGCAGCAGUGGGGAAUAUUGCACAAUGGGCGCAAGCCUGAUGCAGCAACGCCGCGUGCGGGAUGACGGCCUUCGGGUUGUAAACCGCUUUCAGUUCCGACGAAGCGCAAGUGACGGUAGGAACAGAAGAAGGACCGGCCAACUACGUGCCAGCAGCCGCGGUGAUACGUAGGGUCCGAGCGUUGUCCGGAAUUAUUGGGCGUAAAGGGCUUGUAGGCGGUUUGUUGCGUCGGAAGUGAAAACUCAGGGCUUAACCCUGAGCCUGCUUCCGAUACGGGCAAACUAGAGGGAUGCAGGGGAGAAUGGAAUUCCUGGUGGAGCGGUGGAAUGCGCAGAUAUCAGGAGGAACACCGGUGGCGAAGGCGGUUCUCUGGGCAUUUCCUGACGCUGAGAAGCGAAAGCGUGGGGAGCAAACAGGCUUAGAUACCCUGGUAGUCCACGCCGUAAACGGUGGGCACUAGGUGUGGGGAACAUUCCACGUUCUCCGUGCCGAAGCUAACGCAUUAAGUGCCCCGCCUGGGGAGUACGGCCGCAAGGCUAAAACUCAAAGGAAUUGACG